AUAAUCAUUAGUCUUUUAAUUGAAGGCUUGUAUGAAUGGUUGGACAAAAAGUAAGCUGUCUCGGUUAUACAAUUGAAUUUAACUUUUAAGUGAAAAGGCUUAAAUAAUCUAAGGGGACGAUAAGACCCUAUAAAGCUUUACAAUAAAUUAAAUAUAUUAAAAUUUGUUAGUGUAACUUACUAUAUUUAGAGUUUGUUUCGUUGGGGCGACGAGAAUAUAAUGAAUAACUGUUCUUUUUAAAAAUAAACAAUAAUAAUUGGUUAAAGAUUGAUCCUUUAUUAAAGAUUAAAAGAUUAAGUUACUUUAGGGAUAACAGCGUAAUCUUCUUCAAGAGUUCAGAUCGACAAGAAGGGUUGCGACCUCGAUGUUGAAUU
rnacentral:rRNA from 1 species